rnacentral:rRNA from 1 species
CUACGGGGGGCUGCAGUGGGGAAUCUUGCACAAUGGACGGAAGUCUGAUGCAGCGAUUCCGCGUGGAGGAUGACGCAUUACGGUGUGUAAACUCCUUUUUUGGUGGAAGACGAAUGACGGUACACCAAGAAUAAGGGACGGCUAACUACGUGCCAGCAGCCGCGGUAAUACGUAGGUCCCAAGCGUUAUCCGGAUUUACUGGGCGUAAAGUGUCCGUAGCCCGAUAUACAAGUCAGUUUUCAAAUAUCCUGGCUCAACCAGGAAAAGGGAAUAGAUACUGUAUAUCUGGAGAAUAUUGGAGGUUAGUGGAAUUUCAGGUGGAGCGGUGAAAUGUGUUGAUAUCUGAAGGAACGCCGAAAGCGAAAGCAGCUAACUAUGAUAUUUCUGACGGUGAUGGACGAAAGCUUGAGUAGCAAACGGGAUUAGAUACCCUGGUAGUC